GAAAGGCGGAGCUGGACAGAUCACAGCCUAGGAGGGACUGUGGACAGAGGGACCAAGCUGGUGGAAGCUGUGGUGAAAAUUCUGGGGGCUGCCUGCUCUAUGUCACCCCCGUCUCGAAGGGGUUUCCCCUCAACGGGCAGGAGGCUGCGUUGCUAGGGAGCGUGUUGCCAUAGCACCAUCAGAUUUGUGAUUCCUCCAGGGAGGGGGGAGUGACCCCCCCAUAUCCCUCCCUCCUAGAUCCCUGGGGGAACCAUGGUGGGCUACAGUCACCUGGCCAUGGUGCUGGCUGUAGCCACGCAGACUCUGUUCCAGCCAAUCCUGAGCCAAGGCACUAAUAUGAGCACCACGAGACCCACGACUGUAUCGGGGCUCACGGUAAGUAGGCGUGGGUGUGGGGGGGUGAGCGUUGCGUUGCUGGGGGGCCCAUCCCAGCGUGGGGAAGAG
rnacentral:lncRNA from 1 species